rnacentral:lncRNA from 1 species
AAUUUCACACCUGGAUGUGCUCACUCAACCAAGAAUAGAGAGACAGAGCUUCUGCCCCAAGAAAAAUACUCUCCUGUGCCUCCGCUCAGUAUAGAUUUCUAGACCCUGAUCAUUGCUUAAGAGAUAUUCACCGGGG